CAAAAGGGCUCAAAGAUGGACAUACUCUUCAAAAAUCACAGUUGCAUGACUCCGCUGUCAACAAGAUGAAGGACCUUAGUGAAGAAGAUGUGCAUUUAUUGGCCAGGAUCCUUUCAGUUGGACUGGUGGAUGCAGAUCCAAACUACCUCCACCACCUUAAAGGCUACAGGGACCUGAACAGCUGAUGAUCUCCUUUGAAAAAUCUGCACAGUUACAGUAGUUAAUACACACAAAGACGCAGCAGUUCCUGGAGAUAUUGAUGGAUUUGUGAUGAG